rnacentral:rRNA from 1 species
GACGAACGCUGGCGGCGUGCCUAAUACAUACAAGUCGAACGCAUUUUCUUUCACCGUAGCUUGCUACACCGAAAGAAAAUGAGUGGCGAACGGGUGAGUAACACGUGGGUAACCUGCCCAUCAGCGGGGGAUAACACUUGGAAACAGGUGCUAAUACCGCAUAAUUCCAUUUACCGCAUGGUAGAUGGAUGAAAGGCGCUUUUGCGUCACUGAUGGAUGGACCCGCGGUGCAUUAGCUAGUUGGUGGGGUAACGGCCUACCAAGGCUGCGAUGCAUAGCCGACCUGAGAGGGUGAUCGGCCACACUGGGACUGAGACACGGCCCAGACUCCUACGGGAGGCAGCAGUAGGGAAUCUUCGGCAAUGGACGCAAGUCUGACCGAGCAACGCCGCGUGAGUGAAGAAGGGUUUCGGAUCGUAAAACUCUGUUGUUAGAGAAGAACAAGGAUGAGAGUGGAAAGUUCAUCCCUUGACGGUAUCUAACCAGAAAGCCACGGCUAACUACGUG